UGUUGAAACACUGACUCCUGUACAAUCACCGAAGUUAAGCAAUGUCAAUCUUGGUCAGUACCUAGAUGGGUGACCGCUUGGGAAUAACAGGUGCUGUAA